GAUGAACGCUGGCGGCGUGCCUAAUACAUGCAAGUCGAGCGAACAGACGAGGAGCUUGCUCCUCUGACGUUAGCGGCGGACGGGUGAGUAACACGUGGAUAACCUACCUAUAAGACUGGGAUAACUUCGGGAAACCGGAGCUAAUACCGGAUAAAAUAUUGAACCGCAUGGUUCAAUAGUGAAAGACGGUUUUGCUGUCACUUCUAGAUGGAUCCGCGCCGCAUUAGCAAGUUGGUAAGGUAACGGCUAACCAAGCCGACGUUGCGUAGCCGACCUGAAAGGGUGAUCGGCCACACUGGAACUGAGACACGGUCCAGACUCCUACGGGAGGCAGCAGUAGGGAAUCUUCCGCAAUGGGCGAAAGCCUGACGGAGCAACGCCGCGUGAGUGAUGAAGGUCUUCGGAUCGUAAAACUCUGUUAUUAGGGAAGAACAAAUGUGUAAGUAACUAUGCACGUCUUGACGGUACCUAAUCAGAAAGCCACGGCUAACUACGUG
rnacentral:rRNA from 1 species